GGACGAACGCUGGCGGCGUGCCUAAUACAUGCAAGUCGAGCGGACGAAUCGAAAGCUUGCUUUUGAUUCGUUAGCGGCGGCCGGGUGAGUAACACGUGGGCAACCUGCCCUGUAGACGGGGAUAACACCGAGAAAUCGGUGCUAAUACCGGAUAACACGAAAUGUCGCAUGACGUUUCGUUGAAAGACGGCGCAAGCUGCCGCUACAGGAUGGGCCCGCGGCGCAUUAGCUAGUUGGUGAGGUAACGGCUCACCAAGGCGACGAUACGUAGCCGACCUGAGAGGGUGAUCGGCCACACUGGGACUGAGACACGGCCCAGACUCCUACGGGAGGCAGCAGUAGGGAAUCUUCCGUAAUGGACGAAAGUCUGACGGAGCAACGCCGCGUGAGCGAAGAAGGCCUUCGGGUCGUAAAGCUCUGUUGUUAGGGAAGAACAAGUAACGCAGUAACUGGCGUUACCGUGACGGUACCUAACGAGAAAGCCACGGCUAACUACGUG
rnacentral:rRNA from 1 species